AUUCAGCGGUGAAGUGCAGAGAGUGAUAACUUGGGACCUGAAAAACAAGACCUGUGACAUUGUGUCUUUGUGUCCAAGGCAAAGAGCGCUAGCUAUUGAAAUUAGAAGCAGCCUGGACAGACAUGAGAGAACUGAAGAUGACACACCCUGACAAAGGCUACUAGAGAAGGAUUCAUAGUGUUACAGGAGCUGAGACUGCCGAGUGCUGAGCUGAGACUAGAAGGAAAGCGGAUUGUUCAGAGAGGAAGUCAACCCCAGAACCAGUGAGGACGCACAGGCCCGUGAAGAGAGUUUGCAGAUGCCUGAGUAAGUGCCACAGCAAGGAUUCAAAUCUGAGUUUCAAAGCCAGAUCCAGCCGCCCUUUGCAGGCAACACCAGCCAGGACCUGGGAAGGCAGGUAAGUGACUGGUGUGCCUUCAAAGCGUUCACAAACUGGUGCCAAAU
rnacentral:lncRNA from 1 species